rnacentral:rRNA from 1 species
AACGAACGCUGGCGGCAGGCUUAACACAUGCAAGUCGAACGCGUGUAGCAAUACACGAGUGGCGCACGGGUGAGUAACGCGUGGAUAUCUGCCUUUUGGUUCGGAAUAACCCCGGGAAACUGGGGCUAAUACCGGAUGGUUCCUUCGGGAUAAAGAUUUAUCGCCAAAAGAUGAGUCCGCGUCCGAUUAGCUAGUUGGUGAGGUAAUGGCUCACCAAGGCGACGAUCGGUGGCUGGUCUGAGAGGACGAUCAGCCACACUGGGACUGAGACACGGCCCAGACUCCUACGGGAGGCAGCAGUGGGGAAUAUUGGACAAUGGGGGCAACCCUGAUCCAGCCAUGCCGCGUGAGUGAUGAAGGCCUUCGGGUUGUAAAGCUCUGUUGGCGGGGACGAUGAUGACGGUACCCGCAGAAUAAGCCCCGGCUAACUUCGUGCCAGCCGCCGCAGUAA